GACGGAGGAUGCAAGUGUUAUCCGGAAUCACUGGGCGUAAAGCGUCUGUAGGUAGUUUAAAAAGUCCACUGUUAAAAAUUGAAGCUUAACUUCAAAGAUGCCGUGGAAACUUUUAAACUUGAGUAUGAUAGGGGUAGAGGGAAUUUCCAGUGGAGCGGUGAAAUGCGUAGAUAUUGGAAAGACCACCAAUGGCGAAGGCACUCUACUGGGCCAUUACUGACACUGAGAGACGAAAGCUAGGGGAGCGAAUGGG
rnacentral:rRNA from 1 species